UAUCAGAUUAUUUACCAUCUGUAAUGUAAUAACCACUAGAAUAAAAAAUCUACUACUUGACUAUACUAUUUGUCUUCAUGACAUUUUUGGCGUGGUAAUUCUGACAAUCAUUAAAAUAGGAACGAAAAAGUCCCAAUGACAAUUACAAGUAAGGUGAAAUUGAGCUUUCGGUCACCAUAAAGUUGAGAAGUGAUAUAGUUAUGACUACCAUUGUCACAUAAUGCUUCAUUAGAGCGGCAGAUUUCAUAUCCCAACGACGAAAUUGCGACAAACUGUAUUAUUUCCCAAAAAAAAUCGAUGGUAAAAACCCGUCUGGUUUAUUUUAUGAUAGAUUUCAUAACAGAAACAAAAAGGAAACAUUAAAUCGUUAGAGAGACUAAAGAGUUGGUGAUCAAAAAAUAAACUCUUAGGCCGAAGGCAGAGUGGGCGCGAGAAGCUGUUUUUUUAUAAUGUUAAAUCAGUGUAAAAAUGUAUCAGGAAAAUAA